CCUACGGGGGGCUGCAGUGGGGAAUAUUGGACAAUGGGCGAAAGCCUGAUCCAGCCAUACCGCGUGUGUGAAGAAGGCCUUCGGGUUGUAAAGCACUUUCAGUGGGGAAGAAAGCCUUGGGGCUAAUACCCUCGAGGAAGGACAUCACCCACAGAAGAAGCACCGGCUAACUCCGUGCCAGCAGCCGCGGUAAUACGGAGGGUGCGAGCGUUAAUCGGAAUUACUGGGCGUAAAGCGCGCGUAGGCGGUCUGAUAAGCCGGUUGUGAAAGCCCCGGGCUCAACCUGGGAACGGCAUCCGGAACUGUCAGGCUAGAGUGCAGGAGAGGAAGGUAGAAUUCCCGGUGUAGCGGUGAAAUGCGUAGAGAUCGGGAGGAAUACCAGUGGCGAAGGCGGCCUUCUGGACUGACACUGACGCUGAGGUGCGAAAGCGUGGGUAGCAAACAGGAUUAGAUACCCUUGUAGUC
rnacentral:rRNA from 1 species